CUUGUACUCCCUCCGUCCGAAAAUACUUGUCAUUGAAAUGGAUGUAUCUAGAUGUAUUUUAGUUCUAGACACAUCCAUUUUGAUGNUGAUGACAAGUAAUUCCGGACGGAGGGAGUACUUG
rnacentral:pre_miRNA from 1 species